UUGAAAGAAUGUGUGUUUUACAUGUUGAGUGUAAUUUCAGACCCUUGCCGUCGAUUUCAUGUGCAAACAAGCUAGGUCUGCACAAUUUAUUGAAUGUACAUUGGAAUUGCGUUGAGUGUACAAAACAUAUACAUUGAGUGUACAAAACAUUAGGAACACUCUUUUUUUUUUGCUUUCAGAACAGCCUCAAUUCAUCAGGGCGUGGACUCUACAAGUUCCACAAGGCUGACUCCAAUGCUUCCCACAGUUGUCAUGUUGGCUGCAUGUCCCUUGGUUGGUGGACCAUUCUUGAUACACACGGGAAACUGUUGAGAACGGAAAACCCCCCGCAGCAUUCUUGACACAUUCAAACCAGUGCACCUUGCACCUACUACCAUACCCCGUUCAAAGGCACUUCAAUCUUUUGUUUUGCCCAUUCACCCUCUGAAUGGCACACACACACAAUCCAUGUCUCAAUUGUCUCAAGGCUUAAAAAUCCUAUAUAUAUGCAAAUUGAUACUUGGGGUCAAAGUAUCGAAAUAUUGUUGAAAACAGCUUUUGUUUUGCUUCUCAAGCUUUCAACAUGCUCCUUAAAAUUCUCUAACCAUGAGUGAUUACUGUGUGUGUGUUUGAACAGAAAUACCAUCCAGUUUACACCAACUCAGAUUGAAGCCAUCCAUGCUGGGAUGCAGCCUGAACCCACUAUGGUAAACUAUGGAUGGAUGUGGUAUAUGUUGUGUUCUGGUAUGGGCGUGUGAAUGACGUACUGGCCAGGAGGCUGGAGCUGCUCAGAGAGGUGGGCAGUCUGCAAGAGAGUCUGGACCUACACCUGUGAGACCGACAGACACUUCUACCUCUAUCAGGUGAUGUCUCACUGGGAAGAGUACAUUUCCAAGGUCAGGUCUAAGCAGGGUGAAGGCCGAAGCCAUGGCCACACACUUCCCCUUCCACAAGUACUUCUCCAACGCCCCCAGCCCCAUGAUGAAGACAUCAUAGGACUUCGCUGAGGGUUGCUACCAACACAUCAAGAAGAGAUUUACCCAGCUGGAGGCAGGCCACACACACACACACACACACACACACACACACAUCACAUGUUUACCUAGCUAAAGGGA